GCCAGGGAUAACUGUAUAUCUAUUGUCCAGAAAAAAACAGGGCAUGGUAGAGGUGUAUACAUUUAUGCAAUAUUGUCGAGAAAGUGGAUAGAGGGAGGUUCUAUAAUGCUAGAACACAGACUCAUUUAGCAAAAGAUUUGAGAUAGAAAAAAAGAAAGCAUAAGAACAUGAGAUGAGUCCUGCUGGAUCAUACUACAGUGGUACCUCGGGUUAAGUACUUAAUUCGUUCCGGAGGUCUGUACUUAACCUGAAACUGUACUUAACCUGAAGCACCAUUUUAGCUAAUGGGGCCUCCUGCUGCUGCUGCACUGCCAGAGCACGAUUUCUGUUCUCAUCCUGAAGCAAAGUUCUUAACCUGAAGCACUAUUUCUGGGUUAGCGGAGUCUGUAACCUGAAGCGUAUGUAACCUGAAGCGUAUGUAACCCGAGGUACCACUGUAUAGGCCUAUCCAGACUAGCAUCUUGUUUCGCAGAGGGACCUAACCUCUAUGAGAAGCCCACAAGCAGGCUUGAGUUUCCCAAAAACUAAUACUUCCUCCAAUACAGGAGCUAAUAUACAGCGGUCAUGAUUAGUAGUCAUUAAUAGCCGUUUCCUCCAUGAACUUGUGUAAUCCCCUUUUAAAGCUAUCCAAGGUCACCAGAUUCCAUAGUCUGCCAAUGCAGAGUGUAAAGAACUACUUCCUUUGUCCCUGGAUCAUCCAACAUUCAGUUUUAUUGGAUAACCCCAGGUUUCAGUAUUAUGAGAUAUAUAGAUAUUCCUCCAUCCACUUUCUCCAAGGCAGCAUUUCUUAACUCAGUACACAUUUUAUAGAAUUAACUGCACACAUUGUGGUAACAAUCACUUGCUUAGGUGGCUUUUAAAGGAGAUUAAUGGAAGACAGAUCAAUCGGUUGCAGAUACGAUGACUAAAUGUGGCCUUCAGACUCAAAAGGCACUCUGCCACUGAACACCAGUUGGUGGCAGAAAACUAGUUGAUGGGGGAAGUUCUUUUGCUUUCAUUGCCAUAUCUACUUCUGAGCUUCCCAGAGGCAUCUAUGAACACAGGAAGCUGCUUUAUACUCAGACCAUUGAUCCAUCUAGCUCAGUUUUGUCUACACUGACUGGCAGCAGUUCUUCAGGAUGUCAUACAGGAGUCUCUGCCAGACCUACCUGAAGAUGCCAAGGACUGAACCUGGGACCUUCUGCAGAUGCUCUACCACUGAGCUACAGCUGGCCUCUGUAUGCAACAGGGCACUGUAUACUAGAUGAUGGACCUUUGGUUUGACCCAGCAGGGGCUUUCUCAUGGUCUUCUGACUCAGUGGGAGUAAGGCACACUGGUCCCCAUGGGACUUCUGUGUAGGCAGCUGUAGGCUAGCACUGUAUUGCCAAUUCUUUUCUUGAUGGACUCACAUAGGAAAAAAGGGCACAAACUGAAUAGUGAACACCCUGCCUGGCAACACUCACAAGCUCAUUUGCUGUGUGAGCAUCUGCUGUGAAGUCACACCUAUUUUUCUCCAUCCCCAGUAGGUGUGCCCUUAUAUAUUUCUACAUGCACAGGCAGUUUCCACAUUCUCCGCUGCCUCAUACACUUAAGGUGUUGGGAGAGGCCACUGAAAUAGAUACAGAUAUCAGGUCUGGUGCACCUACUGGAAUCAUCUAAGCAGAAUUGGUGAGAGGAUAUAUUUAUUUAGGCCCACAAGUAAUCUAAUAAGGCUUUGGAGUUCCACUGAGUUCUUUCUCAGAUAAAUCUGACUGGUCUCUCUCCUCUCUGUAGGGGGUGCUGGCAACCUCUCUGGGUGCCCUGAGCCCCUUCUUCCCCCUGCUCCGACGCCUUGUAAUCCUGGGGGCUGGGAGAAACGGGAGUCGGCCGGGCUAAGCUGGCUUCCAUGCUGUUUCCCCCCCAUGGUCGCAGCUUCCUCUGAAAACAGUCAAUGGGGCAGGCCAGAGGCCCGUCCACAAAGUAGUAUGGCGCCCCCAGCCCGGCGGCGCUAAUGGGACAACAAGGCGGAGCGGCCUCUGAGGGAAGGAACACAAAAGCCCCUCGCGAAUAAAAGCCCGCCACAAAAGGCGCCGAGGCGGCCACUUUGCGGGCGCACCUGCAAGCACGGGCCUAGCACGGCGCGGCGCGCCCUCGGCGAGGAGCUGGUACCUGAGCAGCCCUCGGCUGGUAAAUGCGCCAUAAAAGAGCCUCUUUUCAAGGCCUUUCAAGCCGGGGGUCGCCGUGUCUCCUCCUGCCCCUCCCUCCCUUUCCCACCUCCUCAGGGCCAAGCUGCAGAGCAGGCCGCAUCCAUGGGAAUCCCACCACUUGUGCGCCUGGAGACGAGGGAGGGACGGAGGGAGGCAGGGCCUUCCCCCCCGCGCCCCGCUCUCUCCACGGAACCCUCGGAAGACUGUAACAAAUGGGACGCCAUCGAUUUGUAGGCGCUGCUGAGGCAAAUCAAAUGACGGCGGGGGGGGGGGGGGAGACGAAGAAGAUGUGGGGCUACGGCUGAGGAGGGGCGAAGUGAGGUGGGGGCGGCGGGUGAAAUCAACGGUUAGAAUUGUCUCUCGCUCUGCCGGGCCUGCCGCAGUUCUAAAAUCUUCCCCUUGGUUUCUCUCUCUCUUCCAGCCUCAGGCUGUGCUGGCUCCUGUGAAUGUGCAAUGGAAAGUAACGUUUAUGAGGGGAUAAGAUCCCUCUGAGCAUGUGGCGAAACUUCGCUCUUGUUUUGGGGGGUCGGGGAAGCCUUCCGGUACAACAUUUGCUAUUCCACACGCCCCGAAACACGUCUGAAGCACGAAAGGGAUCACUUUGAAGUGGGGUUUGGCCCCCGAAUCCGUUUGGGCGGGUGUUUCCCUCCCCGCGGGAACCUCGCUGAGCAGGUUCAGGUUGUGCUUCGUGUAUGGGGCAAUCUACUUUCAGAAUUAUACACAUUUUGGCGAUUAAUAGGGCAAAAUGAAGUGCAUUUCUUUUUCCCAACCUUCUUUGCGGGUUAAUAAAGAUUGAGAGAGAGAACGAUUCGUUCUUUCAUUAGUGUAUUUAUCGCACUCGAAGGGGUGAUGUGCCCUGAGUGGCAUGCCAGCAAAGCGGCUUAACGCAGGCGCACUGCUGCCGCCUAUAUACGUAUAUGGCUCAUCAACUCUUUUUAUUUCGUUGCAGCCACUGGAAGAGGAAAUUUCCCGCUUUUAGGAGGCAACCGAAACUUUUUUGUGCCGAACAAUAUCUAAGCCUUUCUCCAAGCCGAAAAACUUAUUGUUGGGUGGUGAAAUAUCACAGCGUGUCCAACGCGGAUUUGCAUCUACGUUUGAUACUCAAGGCGGAUCUCCUCCUUAAGUAGGUAGGAAGCACCAUCCUGGAUCGCUCGCCCUUCUCCAGCUAAGGCUGCCGAUCUACCAGGUCGCUUUCGGAUUCCUUCCUUCGGCAAACGGGACUGAUCAAACCCCGGGGAGAAAGGCUGGGGAGAUGCUCAGCAAGAUCAACCGGAAGAGGGCUGCUCGGUAAGUUUGGCUUGUGAUCCAACAGAUCCUCAUCUCUUCCUAAAGCAGGAGGCUCGAUUCAUAAAUAUAUAUUUAGAGGCGUUGAUGAUAACAACACACCACUACACCCAGGCGAGUUCAUGGCGCUUGCAACAGGUUUCUUUCCGUCCCUGGGCUUCCAAGCCGCGCGCAGCGCGACACCUGUCGGCAGCUGCGGGGCACUGCGCCCCUCACCUGAGCGCUAUGGAAGAUGGAGUGGCUUUUGAGCUGCUGAGUACCUCGUGGCUCUGGGGAUGCGCGCGUGCUCGCGCUCGCCCCCAUGAAGGAUUUCCUCUGUUUGCCUCCCGCAGAUUAAUCAGCCGCGGCUCUCCCUAUAAAUCCCACUUCUCCUAAGAAAUGAGCAGCGUCCAGGGGCAGGGGGUGGCGCUCUUCAAAAGCAGCACCUGCAAAGGCGGCGGGUUGCCAAGGGCUGCAGGGAGGAGGAGGGGCGGCGGCGGAGGAUGCUCGUACCUGCGCGAGCUGCUUUCUCUCCGCUCUCGCUCGCUGCCCCCCGCCCACCUCGCUCUCUCUCUCUCCCCCCCCCUCCCUGUCCAGCCGGCCUGGAGCUAUUAACGCCUCCCUCGCCCCGCCCCUGCCGGAGCGCUUGGGAAAGCUUCGCAAAGCUGCAGACCGGGCUGGUCCAUGGGAAUCUGGCCACUUGUGCGCUCCGGAGCCGGGAGGGGGCUGUGCUUCCUUUACAAAAAGAGACACAAUUAAGCAAAAUGCUCAAUGAACAUUAUAAAUGAUGGGCAAUCGCUUCGCAGAUUGCCUAGCAAAUCAAAUUAUAUAUGGUCGCUCACGGGUGAUUUCCAGGCCCUUUGCAAACCAAACAGGUAUCUUUUUGUGCGUUUGUCCUCUUCAUCUCUCUGCUCCCCACCCCCACCCCCUCUGCCCCGAUUUUCAAAACAGGCUCUUUAAAAAAGAAGACAAAAAUCAUCCCCAGACGUGUAAGUGGGCUUGAAAAGCGGGUCUUUAAGUAUUCACAUCUCCCUCCCCCCCACGCACCCCCCCAGCUCUCACCACCACCUUUGUUAGCUACUGGAUUUCACACUAGCACAGGAGGUAGGGAAAGGAGAAAGGGGGAGCCAACACUUUUACAGUGUCCUCUUGUGAGUUUGACCAACAGUUGGCUUCGCAAACCCGUAGGCACCUGCUCACAAAGAGCAGAGGGGUCGCCUGGAUUUCCAUAAAGGAUGGUGCUAAAUUUGAGCACACAAUAAAACGUGAUGGCAGCUUUAAAAAAAAAGUUUCAGUCAAAAAGACCUCGAGGAUCAAUGUCUACAAAAUAAUAAAAAGCUGUGCAGGGUGAGGAAAGCAGCUUGUGGAAUUAAGGAGACAACAGGCUGCCCUGGGGCUUUGUUGGUAAGCAACCUGUGCUUUGAGCCCUGCACCCAGGCACCCAGACAAGAGGCUCAGAGAGUGCCCUAGGGCACAGAAAGUUGGGUACACAGAGAAGGGGGUCAGUCCUGAGUCCCAAACCCAUGUUGUGGGACUUGAGUCCCCCCCCCACACACACAUGGGAAAGCUGAUGGGGAACUAAUGCAGGUCCUUGGCAUGGAAGAACAGCCUGGAUAUUGUAGAUCUUCUUCACUGUAUCAUCACAAUCAGUUUGUUAAGAUUUCUGAAGGCCUCCCUCAAAACAAAAUGGGCGCGUUAUUGGCAGAAUUCAAGAACUAGGGGCCGUCCACUGAACUUCAGAGGCAGCCUUUUUAAAUCAAAGAGGUUCAGACCCUGUAACCAUGCAAUCCUAAAUGCACUUCCUUGCAGGGCUGCAUGUCUACUAAGAAGCACAUCUAAUUGAAUUCAAUGGGGCUUGGUCCCAGGCAAGGCAUCUCAGAGACAGGGGCAUACCUAGGGAUUGGUUAGGUUGGCCCCCGCCAAGGGUGCAGGCCAGAGGCAACAUCAUGAGGAGCCAGGUGGCAGAGCCGAACGCCCUCUGAACAAAAAAUAAUAAUGGGGAAGGGAAGUGCCUUGGCCCCUAGCAGCUGGUCCCUAUGGGGCAGGCGUGGGGUGGGGGAGCAAAAGUUGUGCCUCUCUGCUCUGGCUUGGAGUUGCUAGGAGCCCGCUUGACUGAUUUCUGGGAAGCAGCCCUCUAGGUGCCCCGCCUAAGCAAAAGGUGAUGAAAAGCAAAGUUUUUGAGUUUCUAGGUCUGUCCUGGCUUCGGAGGGACCAAUACAUCUCCUUCUCAAGGGUGCAAGAGUGCCUAGAUAUGCCUCUGCUCAGAGGCCCAGGUAACUUCCAGCUUUUAACAGGGGCAAACUUAUGCAAUCUUUCUUAAUAUGGCGCCAUGUGCAAGGCCAACAUUUGGUGCCUCCAAAUGGAUCUUCUCAAUUAUGGAUCUUCUACAUUUUGCAUCCCCUCCGAUCAGCGCCCUGUGCUGAGGAACUGCCUGCAGUGACCUAAAUCUGGUGCUGCUUUAAAGACACCUGCCCAUAAUAAAAAUUAAAAUCCAGCAGUCAGCAAACACAAAGGCAGCCAAAUUCAGCAACCAAAAGCUGCUUCCUUCAGACUUAGAUCAAGAAAUAAAAAUGAUCCACAUGAGAGCAAGUCUGAGAACUUAACACAGAUUGAAUGGGAUGAAUUUGCACAGUGGAAACUCCUCUGAUUAUCAGAUAUUUAGGCUGCAGUCCUAUCCCCACUUACCUGGGAGGAAAGUUCUAUUAAAUUCAACAGAACUUGCUACUUCUUCCCACCAAAAAAUAUUUUUAAAGAAUUUUCCAAAAGUUACUUUUACAAAACAGUGAAAAAAACUUAUCUCCUCUUGGAGAUCUGUUCCCUGUUCUUCCCUGUUGCUGUUUCCAUAUCUUUUGGUUUGCCAUGUUUCUUCAGAGAACCAAGAUCAAACCCAUCUUGCAAAGCUACACAAAGAUUUCCUAGGAACCCAGAAAUAGCCAGCCUUUCUUUCUGUAAUGCUUAUGCUUGUGUGCGUUUACCAGAAGUGUGAUCCAUACAAAGUUGCCAUUAGUUCAACAUAUGUUGAGUUUACUCAAAAACCAAUAGCUUUCGAGGUGUGUGGAGCCAAUCUUCAGCAGGAAACAGUAGCUGGCUACUAAGACAGAGAACUCAGUCCAAAGCUGUUUGCCUUUUGUAGGCAGCUGUAGGACUGCUGUGGUAUCUGGCUUGUGGUACCCACAGGAACAUGGCUGAGCACCUGAAGACUGAUGCAAAGAAUUGGCUUACUUAAAAAAUAAUAAUUUCCUGCCUCCCUUAAGCUUUAUCACACAUUUGUCAACUAAAGGACCUACUGCUUCUCUGGGUGGUUCUACACACUGUAUUUAUAUAUUUUAAAAUCUGUGCUCUGCCCUCAAGGAGGCUAAAAACCAAGAUACUAUUACUUACUAGUGUUUAUUCUUGAAAUCUCCUAUUGGCUUUCCAUACAAUUAACUAGUAGGGACUGCUGGCAUUAUUUGGGAAUUCUAAGAAACCAACAGUAAUCCUUUACAGCAAUCAGUGCAGUUUUGAAAGCUUCAGUCCACCAUUUUGAUUCAAAAUAGCAUCCAGUGAUAUCCACCUGUGGGCCAAAACCUGCUGCUUGAUCUGAAGAACCACUGUAGCUAUUUUUUUUGUUAGAAUACCUUAAUAGUUGUCCUAAUCAGUGCAUUUUUGAAAGACUGAGCUUGUUAUUUAGUUUCAAAAUGGUGUCCAAAUAUAGUCAGGAAACUGCUUAUUGACCUUAGGGACCAUUGUGCCAAAUCUGGUUACAACGUAUCUUAAAGGUAAAGGGACCUCUGACCAUUAGGUCCACUUGUGACUGACUCUGGGGUUGCUGCGCUCAUCUUGCUUUACUGGCCGAGGGAGCCGGUGUACAGCUUCCGGGUCAUGUGGCCAGCUUGACUAAGCCGCUUCUGGUGAACCAGAGCAGCACACGCCAUUUACCUUCCCGCUGGAGCAGUACCUAUUUAUCUAUUUGCACUUUGACGAGCUUUAGAACUGCUAGGUUGGCAGGAGCUGAGACAGAGCAAUGGGAGCUCACCCCGUCACGGGGAUUCGAACCGCUGACCUUCUGAUCGGCAAGUCCUAGGCUCUGUAGUUUAACCCACAGCGCCACCUGCGUCCCUUACAACAUAUCUUAAGCAGUGUCUAUAUCAAUGCAGUUUUUUUAUUUCUUUAAAAAAGGUUCAGGUUGUGUACUUUUUGACAUUGUGUUUAUUGUUUAUGACUACUUUUGUUAUGUUUGUACUUACGUAUUUUUUUUGUACGUUGUAAGCCGCCUUGAGCACGGUCUUAAAUUUGGCAAGGCGGCAUACAAAUGAAAUUAUUUACUUGUUUAUUGUAUUUGAUAUGCUGUGCCACAUAACUUAGUAGUGACUGCAAAUAACAUCAAUUUAAUAGCAGCUUCUACCCUACCAAUAUGUGCAGCCAGGGGGUCCUGUGGCUGGCAGAAUUAGCCAAUGCCACCUGUCUCUGAUUACUAGGAUGAGUAGCACUGUGGUUGGAUUUAAUGCUUAUUUGUUCUCCUUUGUCCUCUAUUGUUGUUGUUUGGGUGGGGCUGCACCUGUUCAUUCGGGCGAUGUGGCUUUGGUCGGGGCAAGCCUUCUGAGCUGGCAUAUGAAGCCUCUGGGAAUGGGUGAGAAUCCAGUGCCCUCUUUGUAUGGUGCCAGCAUUCAUUUUGGAUGCUGUGCAGGUCUGUGCAGCUUGUGUCCUAAUUUACCGUCCCUCUGCCGGUUAUUUCUCACACUGGGUUUUCCUUUCCUCUUGGAACGAUGCCAUGGCUGCUUGGCGUCAUUAGAUCAGAUGCUUGGCAUGUUUCAGUCCACUUCAGAGUGAAUAGCUGUCAUUUGAAAAAUCUGGUCUGCUCUUCAUCAACAGACACAUCCUAGGCUGAUGGGCCACUUGCACAAUUUUCUCUUCCUUUCCUUUCUCUUCCUUUCUCCUACUUUCACUGUUUUAAUAGUGAAAUACUAAGCACACAAAAAUAUAUAUCAAAUGGGAUUUCCAAAUUGAUUGAUAUGCACUUUAGACAAGAAAGCUUGAUUCAGGCUGGAACUGUUCCAAGGACUGGCAUGGAUUCAGAUUUUUAAGUAGGGAUUAGGGCAGGCCAAUCAGAUGUAGAUCUGGUUUCAAACUGACUAGCUCAGUCAUAUGCCCUGAUGUACAUUAGCAGCAUUAGGCUAUCAGCUCUGGGCUAAGAGGACACUGUCCUCUAGCAGUAGCACUUAAAGCUGGUUCUACCGACCGCUCAGGAGUAGAAACACAGUAUCUUUGACAGCAACAAAUAAAUACCGUAUUUUUCGCUCUAUAAGACGCACAAGACGCACCUAGUUUUUGGAGGAGGAAAACAAGAAAAAAAAUAUUCUGAAUCUCAGAAGCCAGAACAGCAAGAGGGAUCGCUGCGCAGUGAAAGCAGCAAUCCCUCUUGCUGUUCUGGCUUCUGGGAUAGCUGCACAGCCUCCAUUCGCCCCAUAAGACGCACACACAUUUCCCCUUACUUUUUAGGAAGGAAAAAGUGAGUCUUAUAGAGCAAAAAAUACGGUAUUUUGUUCUUUGAAUUCCAAAUGUUGAAGCUGUGUAAUAUUUUUGGCAGGUAUCGAUCACAGAAGCUUACACACCAAAGGAAAGCUGUCCCGUCUCAGCACUAAUUAUAUGGACUACAACCCCUCUAAUUAAUGUAUUUCACAUUUGUAACACCUGAAAUGGGUUAUCUGAACAUUUCCCCAUUGAUCAUUAUUGAUCUUUGCAAAAGUUGGACAACUAGACUGCUGCAUGCUGUUCAUUUGCAAAUUUUUGUAUACUCUUUAGUGAUGCACUACUAGCAGAUAGUACUACUUUGUACUAUUAUUAUGUAUUAUUAUGUACUAUUGUACUAUUAUUUUGCACUUGUUUCUUCAACCAUUUGUAAUAUGUUCAUUUAUGAUUGUAUGAUUCAGCCUUUUUAAUUACUGUUAUUUGUGCAGGCAUUCUCUCUCAUUGGAAACAUCUAGACUGUUUGGACAAAAAACCCUCCCCUGUGCCCCAACUAAAUCGACUCCAGAGGGUACCCCAACCCCAGGAUGCUGCAGGGGAGAGGAAAACAAUUUUGUUCUGUUGGCAUAGAGUGCCUCUCUUCAGCAGUCAUCAUUGGAUCCCACCCAUGACGUUUGGACAACUGUCUGUUUCUUGGAGAAGGGGCAUGUCCAAAGAUGGCUGGGGAUGCUGCUGAGAAUACAAGCAGGGAUCUGAGAUUACAAAGCAAGACUACCAGUGCUUGCAAAAACUUAAAACCAGCAUUAGCUCACUUCCUCUAUGCCAAAGAGCUCUGUACAACACAGAAACCUAUCUGUCAAGCUGGAACCAAGAAUGGCAAUGAUGACUUGCACCACUGCACUCAAACAGCACAAAAACUCCUAUAGGGCUAAAAUGGUUCUUUGGUGCCAUCUUGUGUGUUAAAAUGGAAUGAAUUGCAGCUCUCAGACUUGGUCUUAUUGUUGAGCCUGGGAGAGCAGCUCAGCUCUUCUGUUGCACCCGAACUGUCAGGCUGAAUCCUGGGAAGAGCUUGCUGGAUUAGUUCAGAUAUGUCCAGCCUGAUUCUUUUUAUUGGGUGUUGUCCCAACUUGAGCCACAUUCACACCACACAUUUGAAACACCUAAUGAUGCUGCUUUAACAGGAGAUUGCUUUUAACACCUAAAGUCCUGGAAACAAAAUGUUAUUAAUUAUGCUGUUUCACGGGCUUCUGAAAUAGCUUUCAUUAUUCCUGUAGACGAAAAGAAGGAUGUGUUCCACUCGUGGUGCUGCCUUCACAGUUGCUAGUUGGCUGGCUGUUUGCUGGCACCAUCCCAAACCCAAUAUGCCACUUUUUGCUGGCAUAAUCCUUCUCUUUCAGCUGCUGGUAUCAAGCCGGUACCAGUUGGCCAGACCAGGCAAUAUAUACAAAAUUGUACAAUGAAAGCUUUCCUGUGAAUAGACUGAAAAGGGCACUUACUUUGAAACCUGGGUAAAUAUUUCCCCUAAUUCAAAACAUGGCACCUGUACAAAGCCCUCCUCUUUGCUGCCACCUCCCAAAUCACAUAGGCCUCUGCUGCCUUUGGUUCUGUACUGUAUGUUUCAUGCAAAUUGAGGAUCUGAAGCCUAUACCUUCUUUGAACCUGUAAACUAAUUGCUCAAAAAAUAAUCAGGGUUGAGAGCCAGCUGCAGGCGAGUUCAGAUGACAAAAUAAAUGCAGAUACAAGGUUGAUAGCAAUUAGAUUGCCACCUGCUACGCAGCAUUAAUCUGCACCCCUGAAGUCCAAUUGUUUGCAGAGGUUGGCAAAGGAACAAGGGGGGGGGGAGAAUGCUUCAAGUGCAGGAGGUAUUAGGGUCUUAUCCAAGGGACGGGAAACAGGAUGGAACUCGUGCCAACUUUGUGCUCAGGUCCCUAUGGUAUCCUUUGAAUCCCUUUUGAAUUAUUAUUAAUAUUUUCUAUAGCACUUUUAAUUGCUGAGUGCUUCAGCCCUGCUGCAGGGAGAGUCAAUAUUAUUACCAUUUUAAAGGUGGGUAACUGAGGCUAUAUACCUUUAAAACACAUCAGAAGCACAUUUCUGCUCUCAAGGAAUUCUGGGCGCUGCAGUUUGUUGAGGUUUGCUGGGAAAUGUAACUCUGAGGGGUGAACUACAGUGCCCAGAAUUCUUUGAGGAAAAGCAUGUGCUUUGAAUGUGCUACAAAGUGUGUACAAAGCCUUAGUGACAUUUACUAGAGGUACUAGAGGGACAAAUGCAGGUGGCUUCUAGCGUGAAAAGAGAUAUAUUAUUCAGGGCAGAAAUUGUACGUUUUGGUGGUCUAAUCUGGGUUCAGAUUGGCACGUCAGCAUCCCAGUGGGCCAAGGAAUAAAACACAACCAGUGAUGCAGACUUGGCAAAUUCUAGUUUCCAAAAUCCACAGCUGGCGCCAACCAAAUUGUCCCACUGAGAGGCAGUGUGGCGUAAUGGUUAAAGUGUUGGACUAGCCUAACCCAACUUCAUAGGGCUGUUGUGAGGAUGAAAUGGCAAGGAAAACCAUGUAUACCACCUUGAGAUUAUUGGAAGACAAAGGCAGUAUAUAAAUGUAAUAAAUAAAUAGUGUGGC